rnacentral:rRNA from 1 species
UACGGGGGGGGCAAGCGUUGUUCGGAAUUACUGGGCGUAAAGGGCUCGUAGGCGGCCAACUAAGUCAGACGUGAAAUCCCUCGGCUUAACCGGGGAACUGCGUCUGAUACUGGAUGGCUUGAGUUCGGGAGAGGGAUGCGGAAUUCCAGGUGUAGCGGUGAAAUGCGUAGAUAUCGAGAGGAACACCAGUGGCGAAGGCGAGUCCCUGGACAACGACUGACACUGAGGCACGAAAGCUAGGGGAGCAAACAGG